rnacentral:rRNA from 1 species
GUUCAGAGUACGUGAAACCGUUCAGGGGUAAACCUGAGAAACCCAAAAGAUCGAAUGGGGAGAUUCAUCGUCAGCGCAUUUUGUAUAUGUAUAAGUUAUGAUGCGGGUUACUCUUGUAGUAUUGCCUGUACAUUCUUGUACAUUUUGUUGCAAGAUGUUGUCGGCGUGCACUUCUCCCCUAGUAGGACGUCGCGACCCGUUGGGUGUCGGUCUACGGCCCAAAUGGUAGCCUUUAAUGUUUUAAUACAUUGAAGACCUUUGGUGUUUCCUGACCGACUGCUCGGCGGUACUCGUACGGUAUUAAGCCGCAUAUUAAUAUGCGUCCAUACCCGUCGCAAGCGAGGUUAAUUUUUGGUAGUACGGACCUAGUGCCGUCGCUGAAAUUAAUCAGCUGUUGGUUGUACGGUGUUCUAGGACAGGCUAAAAAUAUUACCGGUCGGCGAUGCUACUGCUUUGGGUACUUUCAGGACCCGUCUUGAAACACGGACCAAGGAGUCUAACAUGUGCGCGAGUCAUUGGGAUUUUUUAAAAAUUAAACCUAAAGGCGUAAUGAAAGUAAAGGUUGUCCUUGCGUCAACCGAGGGAGGAUGAGUUGUAUUAAGAUACAGCUUCGCACUCCCAGGGCGUCUCAUCUCAUUGCGAGAAGAGGCGCACUAAG